CUUAAAUUGAUAGCCCCAACUCGUGCACCAGUGCUCUGACUUCGCACCAUUUCUUGUUGAAACAUCCUUUGUGUAACUGUAGUUAUUGGUAUCUGAACUGCAUAGCUCAGUUUUCAGCCUUGUAUAAAUGUUCUUGUCAUAAGCCGAGAUGAGAGCUUCUCUAACAGAUUUCUUCUCCUGUUCACUAUUGUCACCUUGCUCAGUUGCAUGCUUGGAAUCAGG
rnacentral:misc_RNA from 1 species